ACGUUAGCGGCGGACGGGUGAGUAACACGUGGGUAACCUAACCUAUAAGACUGGGAUAACUUCGGGAAACCGGAGCUAAUACCGGAUAAUAUUUCGAACCGCAUGGUUCGAUAGUGAAAGGUGGUUUUGCUAUCACUUAUAGAUGGACCCGCGCCGUAUUAGCUAGUUGGUAAGGUAACGGCUUACCAAGGCGACGAUACGUAGCCGACCUGAGAGGGUGAUCGGCCACACUGGAACUGAGACACGGUCCAGACUCCUACAGGAGGCAGCAGAC
rnacentral:rRNA from 1 species